rnacentral:rRNA from 1 species
GGCGACCCGGCCUUCGGGCGUCGGGGCCCCCAAUGGACCCGCCAACCCUGCAUCUGUGCGUCCGAGUCAACGAUUGAAUCAAUCAAAACUUUCAACAACGGAUCUCUUGGUUCUGGCAUCGAUGAAGAACGCAGCGAAAUGCGAUAAGUAAUGUGAAUUGCAGAAUUCAGUGAAUCAUCGAAUCUUUGAACGCACAUUGCGCCCUCUGGUAUUCCAGGGGGCAUGCCUGUUCGAGCGUCAUUUCACCACUCCAGCCUCGCUGGGUCUUGGGCGCCGCGGCCUGCCUGCGCGCCCCAAUGUCCUCGGCUGGGCCGUCCGUCUCGAAGCGUUGUGGCAACUCAAUCCGCUUGCGAGGUCGGGAGGCCCGUCGCCGUCAAACCACCCAUCACAGGUUGACCUCGGAUCAGGUAGGGAUACCCGCUAACU